rnacentral:rRNA from 1 species
UACGUGGGGUGCGAGCGUUAAUCGGAAUUACUGGGCGUAAAGUGUGCGCAGGCGGCCGCGCAAGUCGAGUGUGAAAGCCCCGGGCUUAACUUGGGAAUUGCGCUCGAAACUACGUGGCUGGAGUGUGGCAGAGGAAGGUGGAAUUCCACGUGUAGCGGUGAAAUGCGUAGAGAUGUGGAGGAACACCAAUGGCGAAGGCAGCCUUCUGGGCCAACACUGACGCUCAUGCACGAAAGCGUGGGGAGCAAACAGG